CAUCUCAGGAUGGGAUCUUAAACCCUCACGCUGCCUCUUGCACCUGUGCUGCCUGCUGCGACGACAUGACCUUAAGUGGUCCAGUCAGGCUUUUUGUGCCUUACAAAAGGCGCAAGAAGGAGAAUGAACUGCCCACAACUCCCGUGAAGAAGGACUCCCCCAAGAACAUCACGUUGCUUCCAGCCACCGCGGCAACCACCUUCACCGUGACCCCCUCGGGACAGAUCACGACCUCAGGGGCACUGACCUUUGACCGAGCAUCCACGGUAGAGGCCACUGCUGUCAUAUCAGAGAGUCCGGCCCAGGGCGACGUCUUCGCAGGAGCCACAGUGUUGACAUCCCUGCCUGCGCUGGCGGUCCCACCCCCAACUCCCACCAAAGCAGCACCUCCCGCGUUGGUCAACGGGCUGGAGCUGUCAGAGCCGCGGAGCUGGCUGUACCUGGAAGAGAUGGUCAACUCCUUGCUCAACACCGCGCAGCAGCUGAAGACGCUGUUUGAGCAAGCCAAGCAUGCCAGCACCUACCGAGAAGCUGCCGCAAACCAGGCCAAGAUCCACGCUGACGCAGAGCGGAAGGAG
rnacentral:sRNA from 1 species